rnacentral:rRNA from 1 species
UACGUAGGGGGCAAGCGUUGUCCGGAUUUAUUGGGCGUAAAGAGCGUGUAGGCGGCCAUGUAGGUCCGUUGUGAAAACUCGAGGCUCAACCUCGAGACGCCGAUGGAAACCAUGUGGCUAGGAGUCCGGAAGAGGAGAGUGGAAUUCCUGGUGUAGCGGUGAAAUGCGCAGAUAUCAGGAAGAACACCCGUGGCUAAGGCGGCUCUCUAGUACGGUACUGACGCUGAGACGCGAAAGCGUGGGGAGCGAACAGG